rnacentral:tRNA from 1 species
GGCAGCAUGGCUCAGUGGAAAGAGCACGGGCUUUGGAGUCAGAGGUCAUGAGUUCAAAUCCCAGCUCUGCCA